UACGGAGGGAGCUAGCGUUGUUCGGAAUCACUGGGCGUAAAGCGCACGUAGGCGGAUGUGCCAGUCAGGGGUGAAAUCCCGGAGCUCAACUUCGGAACUGCCUCUGAUACAGCACGUCUUGAGUCCGGAAGAGGUGGGUGGAAUUCCUAGUGUAGAGGUGAAAUUCGUAGAUAUUAGGAAGAUCGCCGGUGGCGAAGGCGGCCCACUGGUCCGGUACUGACGCUGAGGUGCGAAAGCGUGGGGAGCAAACAGG
rnacentral:rRNA from 1 species